CCUACGUGGAGCUGCAGUCGAGAAUCAUUCACAAUGGGGGAAACCCUGAUGGUGCGACGCCGCGUGGGGGAAUGAAGGUCUUCGGAUUGUAAACCCCUGUCAUGUGGGAGCAAAUUAAAAAGAUAGUACCACAAGAGGAAGAACCGGCUAACUCUGUGCCAGCAGCCGCGGUAAUACAGAGGUCUCACGCGAUGUUCGGAAUCACUGUGCGGAAAGCGUGCGUAGGCUGUUUCGUAAGUCGUGUGUGAAAGGCGCGGGCUCAACCCGCGGACGGCACAUGAUACUGCGAGACUAGAGUAAUGGAGGGGGAACCGGAAUUCUCGGUGUAGCAGUGAAAUGCGUAGAUAUCGAGAGGAACACUCGUGGCGAAGGCGGGUUCCUGGACAUUAACUGACGCUGAGGCACGAAGGCCAGGGGAGCGAAAGGGAUUAGAUACCCGUGUAGUC
rnacentral:rRNA from 1 species